GGAUGUGAGGGUCAUGUAGCUGUGACAUCUGUAACCCCAUGGAACACCAGGGUUGAAUCAGCUGAUCUGGCUGGCUUGACAAUUGUCCCCUUCUUCCUUCGUUUCUCCAAGUUCAACUGUCCUGAAGCUUUGCAUUCAGUCAAGGAAGACUAUCACCCCCAAUAGAGGAGAACAGUUUUAUAAGUCAAGGGUAUAUGAGUAGCCAUGCUCCCUACUAGAAACCUCCAAACAAGCUCCCAAGUAAUAGGUCAACGGAAAAGACGUCCUUAGAACAUCACAAGAAACAGCAUCACUACAGCCUUUGC
ensembl:misc_RNA 7SK 7SK RNA